rnacentral:lncRNA from 1 species
AUAAAAAAAGGCUGCAUUUAAUUUUGUUAAUAAACUAUAAAUGAUAAAAUGACAUACAGUCUAGAUAUCAAAGUAUUAGGAACCCUCAGUUUUCUGUACCAUUAAUAAAGUAGUUUUAGUUUUGGCAGCAGCAUAAUUCUAUAGUGUGAGAUUUCUACUUUAUUGUUCCUUGAAGUAGGCUCAAAAUGUUGACAUAAUAUGGGAAAAUUUCCCCUAGUAAAGUGUGCACUGAGCUAAUGGGAUGUGAUAUUUGUAUUACAAAGGUAAGUCUUACAUAGAUUUGCAGACCAGUCAUCAUAACUACCCUCAACCCUGAUGUUGAAAGAUUUAUUAAUAUCAGGUGGCAUACAUUUGCCAUCAUUUAUUAUGAAUUCAAACAAAGUUUGCUCUUCUUGACUGUCUCUGGAGCA